UGACAACAAAUAUCGACGGGCGAUCGUCGUGAUUAGCGCAGAAUCGCAUUAUUUUAAUCUUUUGAUAGUUGCAAAGUCAAUCACAUUCGUCACGUUGUGUCAUCGACGUAAAGUUGUACCGUUAUUUUUCGGAGUGUGGUUGCAACAGUGUCACAGCAAUUAGGAAAAUGGCGAAGGUAUCGGAUGCAAGUGCGCGUCGGUGUGUAUUUUGUGCGAGUUUUUCGGAAUAAACGUUGCGCGUAAACAAAUUUCAGAAAUCUCCAGCGACAAGUAAUCGUCGUAAAGUGUUGAUUAGCUUGCGUGUGCGUGAUCAGAAUAGCUAGUCUUUCGGUAUCCAUAAAAUCCAGUCUGUUGCAUCGCGUCGAAUAUUACUUGUUAUGGUUGAAUCGUUGAGCGUCGGUAUGAAGUUGCAUCCGUUUUUUCGGAACGUACAUAUUUCAAAAGUGUCGCAUCGAGCAACAAGUAAUUAUCGUGUAGUGUUAAAAAUGGCGCGUAUUGCUGGUCUUUCGAUAGUAAAAUCAUAUUACAUGUAUCUCGGUAGUGCCGGGAGUGUUGAAUCGAGCAACAAGCGAUCGUCACGGAGAAUAAAUCAGCGCGUAUGAUUGCAAUCUAACCAAACUUUCUAACCUAUCUAAUCCUAUCUCGUAAAGUAAAUCGCGCCGUGUCGGAUAUCGCGCUUGUCAAAUCAAGCAUCAAUGCCAGUUUUUCGAUUUUUUACGUAUAUUUCGGGAGUGUCGGGAUUGCCGUGAGUGUUGUGAGUUUUGUAUCGUGUCGGGCAAUCACAUGGUGUUUCGUUCAAGAUGUGAGAGACCAGUCCGGACCAGUCGUAUCCUGAGUGCUGAUUAAUACCAUAACGGUGCGUUUGGAGCCAACAAGAAUCGCAACGGCGAGAUAUUAACUGGUGUUUAGCCGAUAAUAGUGAAGUGUCUGCCUGUCCUAUCUACCUGCUGCUGCUGCUACUCGUCGUUUCGGUGCAUGAGUCGCACGAGCCGAACCAUCGAUAAUUAAUAUCUUCAGCUCGUUUCAACCGGAUUGCAGGCAUCUUAUCAUUCCAUUUUCGUUGCGUCACGGAGGAGAGAAGGCAACGCGCAAUAAUGGAAAAAUUUUCCGAACGAAAAGCUCCUAAUUAAACACAAGUAAGGCUGACCGAAACUUUCUUGCCGGCAUCUAACAAGAAAUACGAUCCGAUGUCAAGGGACUAACUUCGUCAAGUGAAAGUGAGAACUCGGCAAGAAGAACGAGUUCACACAAGGACAUAUAAAAUUCGUCUGGCGUUUCUGGGGGAUCUCCUUGGUGGGGUCAAUAAGUUUGAGAGACAAUAAGUUAUAAAUAUUGAAAUCUGCCUACAGUUCUCCCGCCCUUUCCUUCUAUUUCUGCCCGCCCUAUCCUAACAAAAACCUUUCGUCCGGGUCACGAACCAGCUCCGAUCGGUUAUGUUAGAGGAUGUCGCCCACGACACGUUGACUCGUGUUUCUAUUAUGUAGGCAUCGUUAGCAGUAUUCGUGUACUAAAUCGAACAUGGAACACGCACGUGAGUGUGCGGGGGAUGCAUUGUCAUGCAUCGACACAGCCGAUUCUUCAAAAUUGGUUUGGCAAGGAUUUCCGGCCCUUCUUAAAGCAUUAAUUUAAAAAAUUGACUAAAGUAUCUCAAGUAAAAAGUAAAUAAAAUUUGUAAAAUGCAUUAAAAAGUAAUAAUUAAAGUGUAUUGCUACGUUAUUUGUUUAUGACACAAAUUAGGAGUUAAUGCGGCGACAUAAUAUAUUGAUCAUCUUAAUAAAGAAAAAUAAAUGUA